rnacentral:misc_RNA from 1 species
CGAGGUCAGCGCAGCAGCUUCUUCAACGAAUGUCUUCAACAUGACCGAACUCCCUAUCGACGCUCUAUCGACUCUAUGAGAACGUAAUAAGAACAUUGUUCCUUUUUUGUUCUCAGAGUCAAGCGCCGGAAAUUCGGCCACGGGCCAUGUUCUGGCCAGUGCUAACAAAACGUAAACGGCCAGCCGCAUUCGGAAAUCCAUCAACAGC